rnacentral:rRNA from 1 species
UACGGAGGGUGCGAGCGUUGUCCGGAAUCACUGGGCGUAAAGGGCGCGUAGGCGGCCUGGUAAGUAGGGGGUGAAAUCCUGCGGCUUAACCGCAGGGCUGCCUUCUAAACUGUCAGGCUCGAGCACGGUAGAGGCAGAUGGAAUUCCCGGUGUAGCGGUGGAAUGCGUAGAGAUCGGGAAGAACAUCAGUGGCGAAGGCGGUCUGCUGGGCCGUUGCUGACGCUGAGGCGCGAAAGCGUGGGGAGCGAACAGG